rnacentral:rRNA from 1 species
AUGGCUCGUGCCGUGCAGGCGGAUCAACCACCGGAAGAGAAACGCAAAUCCGAUGGGACAAACACAAACACAAGCCUCGCAUGCAUGCAUAUGCUCCCAUUUAUCAGCUCACCUACCCACAACCACACCAGGAAACAAAUACGAGCCAGCGAGCGAGCUCGAUCCCACUUCACGAGCUUCAGUGUCGUCAGCGUCAGGCCAACCACCACCACCAGUACCAUGACGACCCGGAGCUCAUCCCUCCUCCUCCUUGCGCUAGCGCUGGCCGUCCAAGCCGCUCCCACCGCCGGCGCGCCGGCCGCCGACACGGUGGCGGACUCGUGCAACGCGAUCCGCGACUUCGUGGACUACGCCUUCUGCGCCGCCGCGCUGCGGUCCAGCGGGCCGGGCGCCUCCACGGCGGACCGCCACGCGCACCUCCUCAUCGCGGCGGACCUCGCCGCGGCGCGCGGCACGUCGGCGCGGGACGCCGCCACGGCCAUGGCGCGCGACGAGCGGGACCCGGGCGCGCGCGACGGGAUGGAGGCGUGCGGGAUCCUCUACGGGGCCACCUCCGUGCCGGCGCUGCAGUUCAUGCGCGGCUACGCGGCCGCGCGGGCGUGGGACCGGGCGCGCUCGCUGCUCUCGCUCACGGGGCAGGCCGGGAUCGGCUGCGAGGCGGCGCUCGCCGGCGCGGCCGCGGCCAAGGGGAGGAUGGCCGCCGCCAACCGCGAGUUCGACCAGCUCACUACCAUGGCCACCGCGCUGCUCAACAGGGUCGAUCAUGUGGGAUGA